AGUUCUGCCUGCAUUCGUUCUUCUUCCUGCUGCCUUGUGAAGGAGGUGUCUUGCCUCUCCUGCGCCAUCCGCCAUGAUUGCAAGUUUCCUGAGGCCUCCCCAGCCAGGCUGAACUGAUGAAGGGAAAGGCCUGGAAGAGAAUGGAUCUCAAGAGAAUGACUGUACCACUAAGGCUUGAACAAAAUCCCAGAAUCCAACCUGGGCCCCACUGCAGCAGCCACAAAUUCUGCUUUACUGGACAAGGAGCCCAUCACCAGUGACUUAAACAGAUGACCAGAGGUCCUGUUCCUCUGUUUAGCUGGCACAAGCCCUUGAAUCUGCACAUGAAUUGGGGAUUAACAUGCACGGAUAUUGUUGGAGCAUCAUCACCUUGCUACGCUGAGUGCUACUAUGACAAAAGCUGACAGUUUAGUAGGAAUGGUGAUGUCUCUGCAAUGAAGAUACCACGUAAGAUUCCUGUAUAAUUUAAGCACCGCACCGAUGAAGUUGAAUGGGAGGGCCAUAGUUGUGAUUUCCACCCACAAUCAAGCAUGACAAUAACAAAGGAAGGAGACAAAAGCCCACGGCCGGCC
rnacentral:lncRNA from 1 species